rnacentral:rRNA from 1 species
AACGCGAAGAACCUUACCUGGCCUUGACAUGCAUUGUGUCGCCGGUGAAAGCCGGCUAGCGUAGCAAUACGCGCUUUGCACAGGUGCUGCAUGGCUGUCGUCAGCUCGUGUCGUGAGAUGUUGGGUUAAGUCCCGCAACGAGCGCAACCCUCAUCUGCAGUUGCCAUCGGGUGACGCCGGGCACUCUGCAGAAACUGCCGGUGACAAGCCGGAGGAAGGCGGGGAUGACGUCAAGUCCUCAUGGCCCUUAUGGGCUGGGCUACACACGUGCUACAAUGGCGGUGACAGAGGGCGGCAGAGGGGCGACCCCGCGCCAAUCUCGAAAAGCCGUCUCAGUUCGGAUUGCUCUCUGCAACUCGAGAGCAUGAAGUCGGAAUCGCUAGUAAUCGCGGAUCAGCAUGCCGCGGUGAAGUACGUUCCCGGGCCUUGUACACACCGCUACAGUG